UCCAUCACCUUUGAUCUCACUACUUCCAUCACAAAGGGCAAUAGAUGUGACUGGUCUUCAAGCCACUGGAAAUCUCAUCUCGAUGGGGAGCUAAGCCACUGAGCUCCAGCACAAAGAGGAAAAAAAAGUUUGCUUCAUCCUUUGUCCAUCACCAGUUGUUGCCAGACAUGAGAAGAAGAGAUGACAAAGAUGUGUUUUUAAAUAAUUUUUCUUUAAAAACAUUCUCUUUAAAAUCAAGUUUUCAUUAAAUGAUUAACUAGCAA